rnacentral:rRNA from 1 species
GAUAAGGAGCUUGCUCCUUUGACGUUAGCGGCGGACGGGUGAGUAACACGUGGGUAACCUACCUAUAAGACUGGAAUAACUCCGGGAAACCGGGGCUAAUGCCGGAUAACAUUUAGAACCGCAUGGUUCUAAAGUGAAAGAUGGUUUUGCUAUCACUUAUAGAUGGACCCGCGCCGUAUUAGCUAGUUGGUAAGGUAACGGCUUACCAAGGCAACGAUACGUAGCCGACCUGAGAGGGUGAUCGGCCACACUGGAACUGAGACACGGUCCAGACUCCUACGGGAGGCAGCAGUAGGGAAUCUUCCGCAAUGGGCGAAAGCCUGACGGAGCAACGCCGCGUGAGUGAUGAAGGUCUUCGGAUCGUAAAACUCUGUUAUUAGGGAAGAACAAAUGUGUAAGUAACUAUGCACGUCUUGACGGUACCUAAUCAGAAAGCCACGGCUAACUACGUGCCAGCAGCCGCGGUAAUACGUAGGUGGCAAGCGUUAUCCGGAAUUAUUGGGCGUAAAGCGCGCGUAGGCGGUUUCUUAAGUCUGAUGUGAAAGCCCACGGCUCAACCGUGGAGGGUCAUUGGAAACUGGGAAACUUGAGUGCAGAAGAGGAAAGUGGAAUUCCAUGUGUAGCGGUGAAAUGCGCAGAGAUAUGGAGGAACACCAGUGGCGAAGGCGACUUUCUGGUCUGUAACUGACGCUGAUGUGCGAAAGCGUGGGGAUCAAACAGGAUUAGAUACCCUGGUAGUCCACGCCGUAAACGAUGAGUGCUAAGUGUUAGGGGGUUUCCGCCCCUUAGUGCUGCAGCUAACGCAUUAAGCACU